CUAUCGAACUGGCCAUACCUGCAAUUUGAAAUUUAUCAGUAGUUUACAAGAGAAAAAGUAGGCUAUUUAACAAGAACUAUACAACCACAACAGGUAACCAUCAUCGCAUUUUAAAUCACAACAAAUCUGCACUUCAAGAAAAUGAGAAUCUUAGUUGUACGAUGCAAUAUAAAACCACCUAUUUCUAAAAACUAAACUUGUAUUUCACAAACAAAGAGUACAAAGGAACAAUACUCAUGGAUCUAAUGUUUUAGGUAACCCAUAUUUCAAUCUGCAAAACGAAUACCAUGAAUAUUCAGAAGAGAGAAUAAUAUUGGCUACAGAUUUUUUCCAGCAAUUUAAGUUUAAAUUCAUUGUACAUCGCGUGCAACACUAAUUAUUCCAAUUCUCUGUUAUGCUAAUGUGGGGAAGAAAAAGAAUAUGAGAACAAAAACCAGCUGUUUUAUCAUGAAAGUUUUGGGGAGAUGCAGUGAUAGA